GGAAUCUUCCACAAUGGGCGCAAGCCUGAUGGAGCAACACCGCGUGAGUGAAGAAGGGUUUCGGCUCGUAAAGCUCUGUUGUAAGAGAAGAACGUGUGUGAGAGUGGAAAGUUCACACAGUGACGGUAACUUACCAGAAAGGGACGGCUAACUACGUGCCAGCAGCCGCGGUAAUACGUAGGUGGCAAGCGUUAUCCGGAUUUAUUGGGCGUAAAGCGAGCGCAGGCGGUCUUUUAAGUCUAAUGUGAAAGCCUUCGGCUUAACCGAAGAAGUGCAUUGGAAACUGGAAGACUUGAGUGCAGAAGAGGACAGUGGAACUCCAUGUGUAGCGGUGAAAUGCGUAGAUAUAUGGAAGAACACCAGUGGCGAAGGCGGCUGUCUGGUCUGUAACUGACGCUGAGGCUCGAAAGCAUGGGUAGCGAACA
rnacentral:rRNA from 1 species